GCAAUUCGAAAAUCUAUUUCAUUUCACUUACAGAAACGCAGCUUGCGUUGCGCAAGCAAAAUGCAUUUGUGGUGUUGGGUUGCAUGCUAAACACGCAACAAGCACCGCGCUCCAACUAAUUCAAUUGAUGAGUAAUCAUUCCAAGUUUUGCGCCACAACCUAUUGAACUGAUGCUCCCAUGAGAGAUGGGAUCGUGUUAAAUAGAGCACCGAGGCCAUCAGUUUCCAAAUCAGUGCUAUCUUGAAACACAUGCGGAAUUGAAAUCGAUUUGAAUUCGAUCUCGGUACAAAACGCCGUCCAAAGCGGAUUCCAACUGGGAAAUAAUACUUCACCGAAAUGCUACUAGACUGGCAUCAAGUACUACCCCCAAAGUGGAUGCACAGCAUACUUUAUACAAGAAUAAGUAUGCUUAGGAGUCAAGUAGCUGCACCUAACGAAUUUCCGUCAAAGUACACAGUUUCCGAAAGAAACUACAUUCAAACCGAAUUAAAUUCCACGUAUUGAAUUAGUUAUAAAGUGUAAAUGUAAUGUUCCGCAUUAAUUUAUAGUUCAAUAAACUAGCGUAUUUAAUUAACCGAGUUGUUUGAAACAACAAGGCUAAAAAUAAAACUUUUCUCCGCACCGAACAAUAACAA